GGCCGGUUAGCUCAGCUGGUUAGAGUGUGGUGCUCAUAACACCAAGGCCCAGGUUUCAAUUCCUGUGCUGGCCA